ensembl:lncRNA
AUGGGAUUUUUCCUGCUGCAGGUGAAGGGUCCCAAAGGUGCGAUCCCGAAAUUCCUUCAUGCGGAAGCUGAGCAGGGGGAUCCUGCCAAUUCCAGAGGUUUUUUUUUGUUUUUUUUUCCCCAAAUUCCUCUUCCCCUUAAGGAAUUCCUCAGCUCAUCCAACACUACAGCCCCAAUUCCUCGCGGCGGGAAAAUCCAAGGAAAACGGAAUUCCUGGCAGAGAGGAUCCGAAUUUGAUCCUGGGAAUUUCCUUCCCCACCCAUGGGAGCUGCAGAUCCCUAAUUCCCAAAUUAGGGAAGGCUCAGAAAUCCAGGGAAAUCAGGAACUUUUUGGGAUUGGAAAUUCCUCCCCAAGGAGAGCAGGAGUUUUCCAAGGCCAGAAUUCCUAUCCAAGGAAAUCAGGAACUUUUUGGGAUUGGGAAUUCCUGUCCUGGGAAUUCAGGAAUUUUUUGGGAUUGGGAAUCCCUAUCCAGGGGAAGUGGAGAUUCCCAAGGUCAGAAAUCUGGAUUGAAGGAAAUCCGGAGUUCCUUGGGAUUGGGAAUCCCUAUCCAGGGAAAUGGGGAACUUUUUGGGAUUGGGAAUCCUCCUCCAGGAAAAGUGGGAGCUUCCCAAGGUCAGAAUCCAUAUCCAAGGAAAUCAGGGGUUCCUUGGGAUUGGGAACGCGUGUCCAGGGAAAUCGGGGACGCUUUGGGAUUGGGAAUGUCUAUCCAGAGAUAUCAGGACCGUUUUGGGAUCGGGAAUCCCUCCAGAGGGAAAAAACGGGAUCUCCUUGGGGGUUGGGAAAUCCCAAAGCAGAGGAGCCAGGAGCUUCCCAGGCUCCUUUUCCCCGGAGCGAUCCCACAUUCUCCCCUCCUCUUUUUCCCGGUUUUCCUUGGAUUUCUCCCCGAGUUCCCUCCUUUUUCCCCCCCCCGCUGUACAUUUCGGACGAGGCGUUCAUCCCAAAUAAACUUUUUUUGGAAAGGGAGCGGAGUUUUCCUUGGAAAACCGCGGGGUCUCCGUCAAUCGGCCCCUCCCAGCGAUCCCAGUCAUUCCCAGUUUGGAGGCUCGGCUGGCUCUGCUUGGGAAUUUCCCUCCUGGAAAAGCUCCCAGAGGAUUUCCCAGCGUUUUGAUUCCCGGUAAAAAGAACCCAAAAGGGAUUUUCUCCUUUUUUUUUUCGUUUUUUUGUUUUUUUGUUUCCCCUUUUAAGUGGGAAUUCCCCCAAAAGCUGCUCCGGCAGCUCCACGUCCAUUCCCAGCUCAUGGAUGUCAUCCCUGAUCCGAAUCUUUGGGAUUUCCUCCUUCCUGCUUUUCCUUGGAUGCAGAGCCCGCCCUGCCUGCGUUGGCAGGCUCAGCACCUCACUCCCAUCCCUCUUCCCAAUCCCAAUCCCAUUUAAUGCCAUUCCCAAUCCCAAUCCUAUUCCCAUUCUCAUUCCCAAUCCUGUUCCCAAUCCCAGUCUCAUUCUCAUUUCCGUUCCCAAUCCCAUUCCCACCCCCAGUUCCAAUCCCAAUCCCAUUCCCAUUCCCAAUCCCAAUCCUGUUCCCAAUCCCAGUCUCAUUCUCAAUUCCGUUCCCAAUCCCAUUAUCCAAUCCCAAUGCCAUUCCCAAUGCCAUUCCCAAUCCCAAUCCUAUUCCUGUUCCCAUUCCCAUUCCCAGUCCAAUUCCCCAUCCUGCCCCACUGCACUCUCCCAUUCCCACCCUCCCAUCCUGCCCCAUUCCCAUCCCCUCACUCCCGAUCCCAUCCAGCCAUUCCCACCCCAUUCCCUCUCCCCCAUUCCCAUUCCCACCCCAUUCCCUCUCCCCCAUUCCCAUUCCCACCCCAUUCCCUCUCCCCCAUUCCCAUUCCCACCCCAUUCCCACCCCAUUUUGUCUUCCCCAUUCCC